GUGAGUAUAAGACCUGAGUGUAAAGACCUUAGGGUGAAGCAAUUGGAGGGCAAGCUUUGGUGCCAGCAGCCGCGGUAACUCCAACUCCAAGAGUGUCUAUGGUGGAUGCUGCAGUUAAAGGGUCCGUAGUCGUGAAUGCAAUUAAAUGUCGUUGUUCAAUAGCGAUGAGUUUGCUAAUGUUUGCGGAACGGAUAGGGAGUGUAGUAUAGACUGGCGAAGAAUGAAAUCUCAAGACCCAGUUUGGACUAACGGAGGCGAAGGCGACACUCUUAGACGUAUCUUAGGAUCAAGGACGAAGGCAGGAGUAUCGAAAGUGAUUAGACACCGCUGUAGUUCCUGCAGUAAACUAUGCCGACAGCCUGUGUGUGAGAAUACGUGGGCGGGAGAAAUCUUAGUGUUCGGGCUCUGGGGAUAGUACGCUCGCAAGGGUGAAACUUAAAGCGAAAUUGACGGAAGGACACUACCAGGAGUGGAUUGUGCUGCUUAAUUUAACUCAACGCGGGAAAACUUACCAGGGUCAAGUCAUUCGUUGAUCGAAUACGUGAGAAUGGCAGGAGUGG
rnacentral:rRNA from 1 species